rnacentral:rRNA from 1 species
UGCAAGUCGAACGGGCUCUUCGGAGCAAGUGGCGGACGGGUGAGUAACGCGUGAGAAUGUGCCUUGAGGAUGGGGAUAACAAUAGGAAACUAAUGCUAAGACCCAAUGUGCCUUAAGUGGUGAAAAAUGAAAAUUGCCUGAAGAGGAGCUCGCGUCUGAUUAGCUAGUUGGGGUGGUAAAAGCGCACCAAGGCGACGAUCAGUAGCUGGUCUGAGAGGAUGAGCAGCCACACUGGGACUGAGACACGGCCCAGACUCCUACGGGAGGCAGCAGUGGGGAAUUUUCCGCAAUGGGCGAAAGCCUGACGGAGCAAUACCGCGUGAGGGAGGAAGGCUCUUGGGUUGUAAACCUCAAAACUUAGGGAAGAAAAAAAUGACGGUACCUAAUUUAAGCAUCGGCUAACUCCGUGCCAGCAGCCGCGGUAAUACG